rnacentral:rRNA from 1 species
AAUGAACGCUGGCGGCAUGCCUUACACAUGCAAGUCGAACGGUAACAGGUCUUCGUUUGCUGACGAGUGGCGGCCGGGUGAGUAAUACAUCGGAACGUGCCCGAUCGCGGGGGAUAACGGAGCGAAAGCUUUGCUAAUACCUCAUACGAGCUACGGACGAAAGCCGGGGACCGCAAGGCUUAGCGCGGACGUUGCGGCCGAUGGCGGAUUAGGUAGUUGGUGGGAUAAAAGCUUACCAAGCCGACGAUCUGUAGCUGGUCUGAGAGGGCGACCCGCAACACUGGAACUGAGACACGGCCCAGACUCCUACGGGAGGCAGCAGUGGGGAAUUUUGGACAAUGGGCGAAAGCCUGAUGCAGCAAUGCCGCGUGCAGGAUGAAGGCCUUCGGGUUGUAAACUUCUUUUGUACGGAACGAAAAGACUCUUACUAAUAAAGAGAGUCCAUGACGGUACCGUAAGAGUAAGCAACGGCUAACUACGUG